CGAGGCUUCAUUCCCACAAAUCGCAUAUGUCAAGAUUUCCAUCAGUUGAAUGCCAAAGUGAAAUUGUUCCAAAUCGACCUCCAAAUCGAAAACCCUCCAGAUUUAUAAUAAAUCUAGAUUCAUCCCAGAAAAAGAGCAAUCAAAUUGAGCCAUAAUAGUUGAUAAUGAGGAAUAAGAGUGACUCACAAUGUCGUUAAAUGGUUGGCAACUGUAAUGUUGAUGAAGAAAAUCGUUGGUUGAAGUAGAAGAGGGACCACAAGCAGGUAUAUUUUUAAACUUUUUGGAUGUAAUGUAUAAUAUUGUGUUCAUAACCUUUAUCUUUAUAUCAGUAAUUGAUGAAUUUAUUGGCUCUUUGUUGAUGGCCACGUUAUUUCACGUUCUUAGAAGAGGAACCAUGUUUUUUUGUAUUUUUUCGGCACUUUUUAAUGAAUCUUAGCCUGCUAUAUAAGUUUGUCCUCCAGUAUUUAUUUAGUUCGUCAUUUACAGUGGGCAUUUAGGUACUGCAAUGGCUGCUGAGUAUUAAUUGUUUAUAUUCUAACCAUUUUUAGUUAGUUCAUCAUUUACAAUGGGCAUUUUUAGGCUGCAUCAUCAUAUUUAUUUGCUUUAUAUUGAGGAUUUGGGCUUCAUGACGAUGAUAUGAUCCAUUUCAUUGCCUGAAAAUUUCUCAGGUUAUAUAAUGUGUUGACCAUUCCAUUUACCUGUUCAAUUGUAGAUAACAGACUUGAAGAAGAUGAAGUGGAACCUGAUGAAUACAAAUUGGCCGAUUCAUAAGACGAUGUUAAUGACAAUGAUUUUUCAUUACGAUAAGAAUGAAAAUGCAUGGGUUUUGGUCUGUCAAUCUGUUGACUGUUUGGGAUGAAAGGACAACCAUAACCCAAAAAAAAAAAAAAAAAAAACAAAAGGUUGUUCAGGGAAUAGUUCCAUAUGCACCACCACGAAUAAAGAAAAAUUAGCAACGCAGUAGAACAUCAUUGUUGUUUGAUGUCUACAAUUUAGAUCAUGAAGAUGAUAACUAUCUUUUGAAUUAAUGUUCUUUUGUUGUAAAUCUGACUGAAAUUAUGUUUUGUUGAUGUACAAACGAGUCUAUUUAUGCUUAGUUUAUGGUUGAAUGAAAUUUCAUAUUUUGGUGUA
rnacentral:lncRNA from 1 species